rnacentral:misc_RNA from 1 species
GGGUCAUUCCUUAUUUAGUUAUUUCUCUCUUUCCUCUUUUUUACUUUGCUCUCAUGAUUUUAAGUAUUAGUAUUAUUCUUUUAAUGAAUAAUGAAAAUUAAUAAAAAAUGGAAGAAUGUAAAAAAAUUCCUGUAAUUGAAAGAGUUAUAGUGAAUAAAGAUAGAACCAAGGACUUAAUUGAAAAGUGCUUGGCAAGGAGGGAUUUAUGGAGUAGUUGUCCACCUCUAAAUAA